rnacentral:tRNA from 1 species
AGGGAUUUAGCUUAGCGGUGUAAGCACCUGCCUGGCAAGCAUGAGGUCGUGAGUUUGAUCCCUG